GACGAACGCUGGCGGCGUGCCUAAUACAUGCAAGUAGAACGCACAGUUUAUACCGUAGCUUGCUACACCAUAGACUGUGAGUUGCGAACGGGUGAGUAACGCGUAGGUAACCUGCCUGGUAGCGGGGGAUAACUAUUGGAAACGAUAGCUAAUACCGCAUAAUAUUGAUUAUUGCAUGAUAAUUGAUUGAAAGAUGCUAUUGCAUCACCACCAGAUGGACCUGCGUUGUAUUAGCUAGUAGGUGAGGUAACGGCUCACCUAGGCGACGAUACAUAGCCGACCUGAGAGGGUGAUCGGCCACACUGGGACUGAGACACGGCCCAGACUCCUACGGGAGGCAGCAGUAGGGAAUCUUCGGCAAUGGACGAAAGUCUGACCGAGCAACGCCGCGUGAGUGAAGAAGGUUUUCGGAUCGUAAAGCUCUGUUGUAAGAGAAGAACGGGUGUGAGAGUGGAAAGUUCACACUGUGACGGUAUCUUACCAGAAAGGGACGGCUAACUACGUG
rnacentral:rRNA from 1 species